rnacentral:rRNA from 1 species
AUUGAACGCUGGCGGCAGGCCUAACACAUGCAAGUCGAACGGUAACAGGAAGCAGCUUGCUGCUUUGCUGACGAGUGGCGGACGGGUGAGUAAUGUCUGGGAAACUGCCUGAUGGAGGGGGAUAACUACUGGAAACGGUAGCUAAUACCGCAUAACGUCGCAAGACCAAAGAGGGGGACCUUCGGGCCUCUUGCCAUCGGAUGUGCCCAGAUGGGAUUAGCUAGUAGGUGGGGUAACGGCUCACCUAGGCGACGAUCCCUAGCUGGUCUGAGAGGAUGACCAGCCACACUGGAACUGAGACACGGUGCAGACGCCUACGGGAGGCAGCAGUGGGGAAUAUUGCACAAUGGGCGCAAGCCGGAUGCAGCCAUGCCGCGUGUAUGAAGAAGGCCUUCGGGUUGUAAAGUACUUUCAGCGGGGAGGAAGGGAGUAAAGUUAAUACCUUUGCUCAUUGACGUUACCCGCAGAAGAAGCACCGGCUAACUCCGUG